UAAAAGGUGGGCGUGGCGGUAGGUACAAUCUGAUCGUGGACUUAUAGAGCUUUUAACUUGAGAAGAUGGAAGUUGGGAAUUCGUUUGAUGUCCUAAAACACCAGAAGAUUGGCCUGACUGUCUCCGUGUCCCUCUGUCUGUUCGUCCUGUAUGUGUUGGUGGCCGUCGCUGUCUACAAACCUCUCCGGGACAGACAACCACGUUCUGUUGACGUCUCCGAUGUCGCCAUGUAACGAUAGCUAGCUGAUGGACAUUAAUAAAAAAAAUGUCGAUUUUGUGUAAUGGACAUUGACUUUUAUAAAACAGGAAUGGAUUUAACAGUAACCUGAACAAUAUGUGAAUAUCCUAUAUGCAAUAACUACAAUCAAUACAUAUAUUUAUUUCA